GUGCCAGCCGCCGCGGUAAUACGGAGGGUGCAAGCGUUAUCCGGAUUCACUGGGUUUAAAGGGUGCGUAGGUGGGUCUGUAAGUCAGUGGUGAAAUCCCCGAGCUUAACUUGGGAACUGCCGUUGAUACUAUAGAUCUUGAAUAUCGUGGAGGUAAGCGGAAUAUGUCAUGUAGCGGUGAAAUGCUUAGAUAUGACAUAGAACACCAAUUGCGAAGGCAGCUUACUACACGAUCAUUGACACUGAGGCACGAAAGCGUGGGGAGCAAACAGGAUUAGAAACCCCCGUAGUCC
rnacentral:rRNA from 1 species